rnacentral:ncRNA from 2 species
GACUCGCACAGGUCAAUUUCAUGUGCCUAGAGACAACCGGAUAAUAACGGGGACGGAAGCCUCACCGCGCUAGUGAGCACUCAAUCAGUAUCCUUAACAGGACCACGAUCGCAAAUUGCCGCGGUUUGAUUGUUU